rnacentral:rRNA from 1 species
UACAGAGGUCCCAAGCGUUGUUCGGAUUCACUGGGCGUAAAGGGUGCGUAGGCGGUCGGGUAAGUCUGACGUGAAAUCUUCAAGCUCAACUUGGAAACUGCGUCGGAUACUAUUCGGCUAGAGGAAUGGAGGAGAGACUGGAAUACUUGGUGUAGCAGUAAAAUGCGUAGAUAUCAAGUGGAACACCAGUGGCGAAGGCGAGUCUCUGGACAUUUCCUGACGCUGAGGCACGAAAGCCAGGGGAGCAAACGGG